GACGAACGCUGGCGGCGUGCCUACUACAUGCACGUAUAGCGCCAAAGCUUGGUUCUUGUACCAACUGCAUUAGCAGCGAACGUGUGAGUCACGCGUUGUGAAUCUGCCUUUGGGACUGGGACAACAUCUGGCAACCAGUGCUAAUCCCGCAUAAAAACUUUAAACACAUGGUUUAUGAUUGCAAGAGGCGAUUGCUUUGCUCAAAGCCGAUCCCCCGUUGUAUUAGCUAGGUGGUGAGGUAAAGGCUCACCAAGGCGAUGAUACAUAGCCGACCUGAGCGGGUGGGCGGCCACAUUGGGAAUGCGACCAGGGUCAAACUGCUACGGGGGGAAGCAGGAGGGAACUUUCGGCGAUGGACGAAAGUCUGGCCGAGCCACGCCGCGUGAGGGAAGAAGGUUUUCCGAACGGAAAACUCUGUUGGUAGGGAAGAACGUUGGUGAGAGUGGAAAGCUCAUCAAGUGACGGUACCUACCCAGAAAGGGACGGCUAACUACGUG
rnacentral:rRNA from 1 species